rfam:Dichomitus squalens LYAD-421 SS1 unplaced genomic scaffold DICSQscaffold_21, whole genome shotgun sequence.
ACACUGAUGGUGAAACGGUAUCAUGCUUGCCUUCCAUCUUGUUAGCAAGCGGCGUGGGUUCGACUCCCGCUCAGUGUA